rnacentral:rRNA from 3 species
GGGUUGUGAGGUUAAGCGACUAAGCGUACACGGUGGAUGCCCUGGCAGUCAGAGGCGAUGAAGGGCGUGCUAAUCUGCGAUAAGCGCCGGUAAGGUGAUAUGAACCGUUAUAACCGGCGAUACCCGAAUGGGGAAACCCAGUGUGACUCGUCACACUAUCAUUAACUGAAUCCAUAGGUUAAUGAGGCGAACCGGGGGAACUGAAACAUCUAAGUACCCCGAGGAAAAGAAAUCAACCGAGAUUCCCCCAGUAGCGGCGAGCGAACGGGGAGGAGCCCAGAGCCUGAAUCAGCAUGUGUGUUAGUGGAAGCGUCUGGAAAGGCGCGCGAUACAGGGUGACAGCCCCGUACACAAAAGCGCAUGUGCUGUGAGCUCGAUGAGUAGGGCGGGACACGUGGUAUCCUGUCUGAAUAUGGGGGGACCAUCCUCCAAGGCUAAAUACUCCUGACUGACCGAUAGUGAACCAGUACCGUGAGGGAAAGGCGAAAAGAACCCCGGCGAGGGGAGUGAAAAAGAACCUGAAACCGUGUACGUACAAGCAGUGGGAGCACCCUUUGGGUGUGACUGCGUACCUUUUGUAUAAUGGGUCAGCGACUUAUAUUCUGUAGCAAGGUUAACCGAAUAGGGGAGCCGGAGGGAAACCGAGUCUUAACCGGGCGUUAAGUUGCAGGGUAUAGACCCGAAACCCGGUGAUCUAGCCAUGGGCAGGUUGAAGGUUGGGUAACACUAACUGGAGGACCGAACCGACUAAUGUUGAAAAAUUAGCGGAUGACCUGUGGCUGGGGGUGAAAGGCCAAUCAAACCGGGAGAUAGCUGGUUCUCCCCGAAAGCUAUUUAGGUAGCGCCUCGUGAAUUCAUCUCCGGGGGUAGAGCACUGUUUCGGCUAGGGGGCCAUCCCGGCUUACCAACCCGAUGCAAACUGCGAAUACCGGAGAAUGUUAUCACGGGAGACACACGGCGGGUGCUAACGUCCGUCGUGAAGAGGGAAACAACCCAGACCGCCAGCUAAGGUCCCAAAGUCAUGGUUAAGUGGGAAACGAUGUGGGAAGGCCCAGACAGCCAGGAUGUUGGCUUAGAAGCAGCCAUCAUUUAAAGAAAGCGUAAUAGCUCACUGGUCGAGUCGGCCUGCGCGGAAGAUGUAACGGGGCUAAACCAUGCACCGAAGCUGCGGCAGCGACACUGUGUGUUGUUGGGUAGGGGAGCGUUCUGUAAGCCUGCGAAGGUGGCCUGUGAGGGUUGCUGGAGGUAUCAGAAGUGCGAAUGCUGACAUAAGUAACGAUAAAGCGGGUGAAAAGCCCGCUCGCCGGAAGACCAAGGGUUCCUGUCCAACGUUAAUCGGGGCAGGGUGAGUCGACCCCUAAGGCGAGGCCGAAAGGCGUAGUCGAUGGGAAACGGGUUAAUAUUCCCGUACUUGGUGUUACUGCGAAGGGGGGACGGAGAAGGCUAUGUUGGCCGGGCGACGGUUGUCCCGGUUUAAGCGUGUAGGUGUGUGUUCCAGGUAAAUCCGGUUCACUUUAACACUGAGGCGUGACGACGAGGCACUACGGUGCUGAAGCAACAAAUGCCCUGCUUCCAGGAAAAGCCUCUAAGCAUCAGGUAACAUCAAAUCGUACCCCAAACCGACACAGGUGGUCAGGUAGAGAAUACCAAGGCGCUUGAGAGAACUCGGGUGAAGGAACUAGGCAAAAUGGUGCCGUAACUUCGGGAGAAGGCACGCUGACACGUAGGUGAAGUGAUUUACUCAUGGAGCUGAAGUCAGUCGAAGAUACCAGCUGGCUGCAACUGUUUAUUAAAAACACAGCACUGUGCAAACACGAAAGUGGACGUAUACGGUGUGACGCCUGCCCGGUGCCGGAAGGUUAAUUGAUGGGGUCAGCGCAAGCGAAGCUCCUGAUCGAAGCCCCGGUAAACGGCGGCCGUAACUAUAACGGUCCUAAGGUAGCGAAAUUCCUUGUCGGGUAAGUUCCGACCUGCACGAAUGGCGUAAUGAUGGCCAGGCUGUCUCCACCCGAGACUCAGUGAAAUUGAACUCGCUGUGAAGAUGCAGUGUACCCGCGGCAAGACGGAAAGACCCCGUGAACCUUUACUAUAGCUUGACACUGAACAUUGAGCCUUGAUGUGUAGGAUAGGUGGGAGGCUUUGAAGUGUGGACGCCAGUCUGCAUGGAGCCGACCUUGAAAUACCACCCUUUAAUGUUUGAUGUUCUAACGUGGACCCGUUACCCGGGUUGCGGACAGUGUCUGGUGGGUAGUUUGACUGGGGCGGUCUCCUCCUAAAGAGUAACGGAGGAGCACGAAGGUUGGCUAAUCCUGGUCGGACAUCAGGAGGUUAGUGCAAUGGCAUAAGCCAGCUUGACUGCGAGCGUGACGGCGCGAGCAGGUGCGAAAGCAGGUCAUAGUGAUCCGGUGGUUCUGAAUGGAAGGGCCAUCGCUCAACGGAUAAAAGGUACUCCGGGGAUAACAGGCUGAUACCGCCCAAGAGUUCAUAUCGACGGCGGUGUUUGGCACCUCGAUGUCGGCUCAUCACAUCCUGGGGCUGAAGUAGGUCCCAAGGGUAUGGCUGUUCGCCAUUUAAAGUGGUACGCGAGCUGGGUUUAGAACGUCGUGAGACAGUUCGGUCCCUAUCUGCCGUGGGCGCUGGAGAACUGAGGGGGGCUGCUCCUAGUACGAGAGGACCGGAGUGGACGCAUCACUGGUGUUCGGGUUGUCAUGCCAAUGGCACUGCCCGGUAGCUAAAUGCGGAAGAGAUAAGUGCUGAAAGCAUCUAAGCACGAAACUUGCCCCGAG